AAAAAAGUAUUGAUGAAGACAGAUUCAAAGAAUUGUUUUUCAGAGAGUCGAUGGUUGCUGUGAAUCGACAAACAAGCUUGAAUUGAGCACUUCUGAACUGGUAUCUGAAUGGUUAGUAGGAAUACCCGGUGCCACGCCGUUAUCGUUUGAAGGUUAUUUAUUUUUUAGUAGAUAACAAAUAUAGGGUGGUACCGCGUAUUUAAGCGCCCCUUGC
rnacentral:ncRNA from 1 species